AGUGACGUAGCCAAUCAAAAUCCGUGACGUUACGAAACUUUCGGUAAUCCAACAGAUUGACUCCGCCCCUCAGCAACAACAACAAAAAAAAUAAAAUACUCCGCCAUGUUGGUGGGGGAAGGCAGCUUGGAUUCUGCUUGUUUCUUUUAGCAGUCAUACGUCAACGCAGCCGCCAUAUUGAAGAGGAUAUCUUUAUUUGAGUUGUGAAAGCACUUUUUUAACGAUAUGGGCCGCACAAGAACUAAUCCAGCUCAGAACCAAGUGCUUUCUGGACCAGCAAAAUAGGGAAAGCUGAAGCAACCGACGGGUUUUUCUCUCCGCUGCUUCAUGGAAACUCAGGAGAGACGAUCAGAUUCACCUUCAGACCAAACUAGCAGCUUCCUCUCAGUGAGUCCAGCUGCAGGAGAGAAAAGUGGAAACCUCCAACUCUGCUGCUUCAAGCUGCUCACACUGGAGCUUCACUCAGAGACAAAAUGGCUUCCAGAUCAGAGGAGGAUCUCUGCUGUCCGGUCUGUCAGGACGUCUUUAUGGAUCCGGUUGUUCUGUCAUGUAGCCACAGCUUCUGUAAGGAAUGUCUGAAGAACUGGUGGAAAGAGAACCUGAAGCAACACUGUCUGGUUUGUAAGAAAAGGUCUCCCUACUCUCUCCCAACUGACCUGCUGUCAUCUACAGAAAUACAAUGCUCUGUCAAAAACAACCAAUCAGAGCCAGGAGGAGGGGCUUAUUGCUGUCAAUCACUCUUCUGUAUGCGCUGCUCACAACCUUCCCUUUUCUCUUUGCUGCACAGGCUGCCAUGAAUGCUCAGGCUAGUUAGCAUGGCCACCAAUCAUGACAGACAAACAGUUUUAGCACAUUAGCAUUGCAUACUUGAGGUUGAUUGACAGAGCUAAGACCCUCCUCCUGGCUCUGAUUGGUUGUUUUGCAUUUCUUCAGAUGGCAGCAGGUGCACAGAAAGGAGGAGGAGCAGCUCAAUCUUUUCACCGUUUCUCAUUUACACUGUCAGGACAUGGUGACAGUUUAAACAAAUGUGUAAAAAACAUAUUUCUGUUAAAGUUACAUGCUGUAGUUUAACCGUUUGUGGAUAAAUAAGACUGUUUAGUCUCUUAUUUAUCAUAUUUAGUUGCAACCUUUGGAUGAAUCUGCAUGUUUCCUCUCGUUGCUGCGACCAAAAUCCAACAGAAUAAACCCGAAAAGAGCAAAUCAGGAAAAUCUCAUAAAGAUAAAUAUGACUCUGACCGAACAGAAAAAUAAAACAAACGUUUUUAUUGAACAUCUGAA